rnacentral:rRNA from 1 species
GUUUGAUCCUGGCUCAGGACUAACGCUGGCGGCGUGCCUAACACAUGCAAGUCGAACGAAGCAGCAAUGCUUAGUGGCAGACGGGUGAGUAACGCGUAGAUAAUGUGCCCUCUUGCGGGGGAUACCGUUUCGAAAGGAACGUUAAUACCGCAUAAAGCCCCUGGGAGGCAUCUCCCGGGGACCAAACUUCCGGGGCGGGAGGAGCAAUCUGCGUACUAUCAGGUAGUUGGUGAGGUAAUGGCUCACCAAGCCUACGACGGUUAACUGGUCUGAGAGGAUGAUCAGUCACACUGGAACUGAGACACGGUCCAGACUCCUACGGGAGGCAGCAGUGAGGAAUAUUGCGCAAUGGGCGAAAGCCUGACGCAGCGACGCCGCGUGGAGGAUGAAGGAUUUCGGUCUGUAAACUCCUGUCAGUAGGGAAGAGAAUGGACGGUACCUACUGAGGAAGCUUCGGCUAACUACGUGCCAGCAGCCGCGGUAAGACGUAGGAAGCAAGCGUUGUCCGGAAUUACUGGGCGUAAAGAGCUCGUAGGCGGGAUCGUAAGUCUUAGAGUAAAUCUCACGGCUCAACCGUGGGGCCUUCUGAGAUACUGCGAUUCUUGAGGAUGUCAGAGGAAAGUAGAAUUCCCGGUGUAGCGGUGAAAUGCGUAGAUAUCGGGAAGAAGGCC